GCCACUUCUCUGUGCCACUCACCCUUCCUCCCCGACGAAGGUGACGUACAGCUUAUUUCUCUGCAGGUCUUUCCGGGAGUAGCCCAUGAUCUGAUUAAAAGCAUCUUCGAGACUGGGCGCUUGCCAUUUAAUUUCCAUUUACCAUAACUAACGAGGCAAAAAGGAGUGACUUCAUGCCAUCGCUCUGUGCCAGCAACUGCUGCGUAAGAGGAGCGCUGACAGAGGGGGCACCCCACCUAUGACCUGCGAACACCGAGAGGCCCUCUGAGUGGUCGAGUCCAUCUAUCCAAGGACCACGGGCAACAUCACAGGCACAACCCUGUGCUGAGUUAAGGAAGAACGGCCCCAGGAGGUCAUGAUUGGAGCCCGAGUGCCCCUGGACAAGGAAUUGAGGUACCAAGAGCCUAGAGAGUUGACUGUGAGAACAAGAGGAAAAAAAUUCUCUGUGUCCUCCCAAGCAGAGGAGUUUACCGCUGUGCUUGACUUCAUUUUUAAAUUAAGGGAAUCUUGAGAUUCCCUAAGUGACAGAUACAAACGACUGAUACGUGUGGCCCAUGAACCCACGUGUCCUAAUGACAGUUGAAGUCAUCCCUGAGCACAUACCAAUUUGCCUGUAGUGACAAUAGCCAUGGAAAGGGAGGUAAUGUGGAGGCCAAGGCAUGAAAGCUAGGUCACGAGCUUCGUAAGAGAAACAUGAGGAGAGAAGGCUCUGAGAGGCAUGGUGUUGGACGGCUGGUGUUCUCUGAGGUGAGGGAAGUGGCCCGGCUAACUUAACCAAGUGAGCCCUCCUGGGGGGGUGGCGAGCCGUGGGCUGUGGGCUGCCCUCUGGACCCUCUCUCGGGAACCCGGAACGUGCUGGGACUGCAGUAGCGACGCUCCCUCCUGUAUCCUCUCUCAGGGGGCACGUGACCUCGGUGAGGCCCUGGCGCGGGCUGUGGGGGGGAUGAGGGCAGGAGGGCCACGUAGAGAAUGAGCAUCAUUCUGCCCACACAUCGUGAGGCCGCUUCCAUUUCCCCAUUUAAAUGGAGGUGAAGGAAGACAGGCAGGAACAAUGUUCAUGAGGUGCGCCGUCGGGCAAGUGCAGUUUAGUUCACAGAGCGACAUGCUGAGCAUGGUGCCCGCACUUGGGCGGGCUCAGGAGACAGUGCUGAGCGAUGCAGGACAUCGCGACAGCCUCAGAGCCAACGAGUCCACGCCAAGCCAACAGAGGUCCUUUUCAGGAGAAAAAGUAAAUCAGCUUGUCAUUUUUUAAAUUUUAUUAUUAUUUUUUUUAACUACAGUUUUAUUGAUGUCAGAAAGGAAGUCAGAGAGAGAGAAACAUCAAUGAUGAGAGACAGUCAUGGAUCGGCUGCCUCCAGCACGCCCCCCACUGGGGAUCGAGCCUGCACCCCGGGCCUGUGCCCUGACCGGGAAUCGAACCAUGACCUCCUGGUUCAUAGGUCGGUGCUCAACAGCUGGGCAGCUUGUACUUUUCCUUAACAUUUUUUUUACAUGGAAUGUGGUCGUUUCUUUACUGUUUGCUUUAAAACCUUAAGCGUAAUUGUGCUCAAUGCCAGAACCGUGUGAUGUAUGGUGCUGCCACGUACAGACACCAAAAUAAUUACACCGACUAAAACCAAGGUGGUCGUCCGCCGCAAACCACGCCCAGUUGCACCCCAUCCUCUCACCAUCAGCAGACCCUGUGCUGGUUUUGCUCUGACUUACUUUAAUUUCCCUGGGCCUUGUCCAUAUCCUUUAGUCUCCAACUUCCUGUAAAAGUUCCUCAGCUUGGCUUCAAAGUCUCGCUUGUAAGGGGCUGGUGCCCGGGCAUUGGCACGCUGCGUACCUACAGCAAACCACAGAGAGAGAGGUUGGCCUUGCGCAACGUCCCGGUGUGCAUCAUGUCACCAUGAACACAUAUCAUCCGAGCUGAGACCAGAGGGAACAUAUGAAAGCGGGCCAUCAAUGCGUUCAGCUCCUGCAGCUUCCCACUGUCCAGGUUAACGGCUGCACAGAGCUUACGCAAACAACACUGCCACUCGUUGCAUUCUCUUUCUUUUGCAGAACCAUGUGAAUGUAUUGACUUCUUCUAUUGUUGACACUGUUACUGAUGCCCCCCUCCCCCCCCCACCCUUGCCCACCUCCAACAGCCCCUGCGUUCCUUGGUGGCAUGCUGGUCGAAAAGAGCGAAGCCGUUUGGGUAGUUAUGAUGGUGCCAUGUGUUCGUCAAAUAUGUUCCCCUUUCAGCCCAAGCUGCUGCAAGCCAAGCUGGAUUACUCAUGCCCAGGGCUGACUGGAGGGCGGAAUAUCUUUGCUGGCUGCUGAGAUGAUAUCAUGGCAAUUAGACAGGAAGUUAUCAUGUGAAAAGUAUGCGGUGUCUACAGCAAGAGCAGUGAGUUCCUGUCCUUCACUCCAUGGAAAACCUACGAAACUUCUUUCGGAAAACUCUGGCUUUGGGUCUUAAGGUAUCCAACCGACACGCCGGGAUACAGAAUCGGUGAUGAAAAUGGGAGUCAGGGCCCUGACAAGAACACUGGAAAUUUCCACCAGAGAUUUCACAACACAAUGAGAGAAACCAGAAAACAGACAUGCUGAAGUCCUGUGCCUUACACACCAGAGUAAGCUCAUUAAGUAUUGCUUUGAUGAAUGAA